rnacentral:lncRNA from 1 species
UUUUAGAUUCAUUAUUUACUUUAAUUGUAUACACACUUACAACAAAAGUCUCCUUCUAAUUCUAAUCCGAACCCUAACCCUAACCCUAAUUUUCUGUACCGGUUCCAUCCGCGAAGGAAAAAGAAAAUAGACGGAAAACAUCCCGCUCUAGAAAUGUCAACGGGUUGGAUUCGGGGCGGAUUUUUAAAAACCCGAACCCGAACCCGAACCCGACUCCAAACCCGAGACCCGAACCCGAACCCGACGGAUUUUAAAAAUCCAUAUCCAAACCCGAACCCGACCAAAAAUCCGAAACCCGAACCGGAACCCGAACCCGAAAAUUUGAACCCGAAAUAAUUAUUUCUUUUUUUAAUAUUUCAAAAUAUAUUAUAUUAAACCUAAAUUUUUAAAAUACAAAUUCAAAUAUGACAUCACAUUUUUCUAUAUAUAUAUUAUAUAUAAUACAAAAUAAAUUCGGGUUCGGGUCGGGUUCGGGUUCGGGUCGGGUACAAUCAAAAUCCAUAUCCGAAUCCAUAUCCGUCGGGUUUCUAUUUUUGAUAUCCAUAUCUGAAUCCAUAUCCAUAUCCACCGGAUAUAUCCGUUUCAUUCGGGUUCGAAUUCGAAUAAAAUUUCGGGUAUCUAUACCCAUUGACAUCCCUAUCCCGCUCCUUCGCAGAUU